rnacentral:rRNA from 1 species
GGGGAAUAUUGGACAAUGGGCGCAAGCCUGAUCCAGCCAUGCCGCGUGGGUGAAGAAGGCCUUCGGGUUGUAAAGCCCUUUUGUUGGGAAAGAAAAGCAGCCGGCCAAUACCCGGUUGUUCUGACGGUACCCAAAGAAUAAGCACCGGCUAACUCCGUGCCAGCAGCCGCGGUAAUACGGAGGAUCCGAGCGUUAUCCGGAUUUAUUGGGUUUAAAGGGUGCGUAGGCGGGAUAAUAAGUCAGUGGUGAAAGUUUGCAGCUUAACUGUAAAAGUGCCGUGGAAACUGUUAUUCUUGAGAGUAGAUAAGGUAGGCGGAAUGUGUUGUGUAGCGGUGAAAUGCAUAGAUAUAACACAGAACCCCGAUUGCGAAGGCAGCUUACCGGGCUACAUCUGACGCUGAUGCACGAAAGCGUGGGGAUCAAACA